rnacentral:rRNA from 1 species
AGUGGCGAACGGGUGAGUAAUGCAUCGGAACGUACCGUGUAGUGGGGGAUAACGUAGCGAAAGUUACGCUAAUACCGCAUACGCCCUGAGGGGGAAAGUGGGGGACCGCAAGGCCUCACGCUAUAUGAGCGGCCGAUGUCGGAUUAGCUAGUUGGUAGGGUAAAGGCCUACCAAGGCGACGAUCCGUAGCGGGUCUGAGAGGAUGAUCCGCCACACUGGGACUGAGACACGGCCCAUACUCCUACGGGAGGCAGCAGUGGGGAAUUUUGGACAAUGGGCGCAAGCCUGAUCCAGCCAUGCCGCGUGAGUGAAGAAGGUCUUCGGGUUGUAAAGCUCUUUCAGACGGAAAGAAAUCUCUCGGGAUAACACCCUGGGAGGAUGACGGUACCGUAAGAAGAAGCACCGGCUAACUACGUGCCAGCAGCCGCGGUAAUACGUAGGGUGCGAGCGUUAAUCGGAAUUACUGGGCGUAGAGCGUGCGCAGGCGGUGAUGUAAGACAGAUGUGAAAUCCCCGGACUCAACCUGGGAACUGCGUUUGUGACUGCAUCACUCGAGUACGGCAGAGGGAGGUGGAAUUCCGCGUGUAGCAGUGAAAUGCGUAGAUAUGCGGAGGAUUACCGAUGGCGAAGGCAGCCUCCUGGGCCAGUACUGACGCUCAUGCACGAAAGCGUGG